CCUACGGGUGGCAGCAGUCGAGAAUCAUUCACAAUGGGGGAAACCCUGAUGGUGCGACGCCGCGUGGGGGAAUGAAGGUCUUCGGAUUGUAAACCCCUGUCAUGUGGGAGCAAAUUAAAAAGAUAGUACCAUAAGAGGAAGAGUCGGUUAACUCUGUGCCAGCAGCCGCGGUAAUACAGAGGUCUCAAGCGUUGUUCGGAAUCACUGGGCGUAAAGCGUGCGUUGGCGGUUUCGUAAGUCGGGUGUGAAAGGCGGGGGCUCAACCGGCGGACGGCACAUGAUACUGGGAGACUUGAGUAAAGGAGAGGUAAGCGGAAUUCUCGGUGUAGCAGUGAAAUGCGUAGAUAUCGAGAAGAACCCUGGUGGCGAAGGCGGGUUCCUGGACAUUAACUGACGCUGAGGCACGAAAGCGAGGGGAGCGAAAGGGAUUAGAUACCCCUGUAGUC
rnacentral:rRNA from 1 species